AUUGAACGCUGGCGGCAGGCCUAACACAUGCAAGUCGAGCGGAUGAAGGGAGCUUGCUCCUCGAUUCAGCGGCGGACGGGUGAGUAAUGCAUAGGAAUUUGCCUGGUAGUGGGGGAUAACGUCCGGAAACGGGCGCUAAUACCGCAUACGUCCUGAGGGAGAAAGUGGGGGAUCUUCGGACCUCACGCUAUCAGAUGAGCCUAGGUCGGAUUAGCUAGUUGGUGGGGUAAAGGCCUACCAAGGCGACGAUCCGUAACUGGUCUGAGAGGAUGAUCAGUCACACUGGAACUGAGACACGGUCCAGACUCCUACGGGAGGCAGCAGUGGGGAAUAUUGGACAAUGGGCGAAAGCCUGAUCCAGCCAUGCCGCGUGUAUGAAGAAGGUCUUCGGAUUGUAAAGCGCUUUAAGUUGGGAGGAAGGGCAGUAAGUUAAUACCUUGCUGUUUUGACGGUACCAACAGAAUAAGCACCGGCUAACUUCGUG
rnacentral:rRNA from 1 species